rnacentral:rRNA from 1 species
CGGCGACGGGAAACACCCAUUGUUCAAAAAAAGGGAAUCAGGUUCCUAUUCCGGAACCCGGCAGCGGAACCGUUGUUUGUCGGGCCCUCACAAGGGGUUCGUCAGGGCAACCUAAAAGGGCCUGGAGACGCCGUCGGGAGCCCCGGAAAGAGUUUUCUUUUCUGCAUGAGCGUUCGAGUUCCCUGGACUCCUCUCGCAGGGAGAUAGGGUUUGGAACGCGAAGAUCUCGACGGUUCGCGGUCCCGGGAUUCCCGCGGCCUGAAAAUCCGGGAGAGGGCCAGU